GUUAAAGUUUCGUUUGACCUGGAUAACAUUCAGAUCAAGUACAUUGACGAGGAUAAUGAUGAG
rfam:Buceros rhinoceros silvestris contig142888, whole genome shotgun sequence.